AUCUUGAAAACGGAAAAUAAAAACAGCAGACCUAUGAAGGUCGAAGGGGAAGAAAAGCUGUAUCGAUUGUUGAGAUCUGGCGACUUGUUUAAAUUUCAUCAGCCUCACUUCUAUGAACUCUCAGGACAAACUGCAAAAGAGUCGCAUCGAGUUGAGACUUCUCCAAGGGCCAUGGGGUUGACAUCUGUAUUCUCAGAGCUGAUUACCAACUCCUACCACUGUUAACCCUCAUCCAGGAAAAAGCUUAUGUCUUUAACAUUCUGAGUGGGCUUCAGCAUCCUUGCAUAUGUUCAAUUCUUAAAAACCUGUUGAAAUAAAAGAUCAGGAGACAUAGGAAGGAUGCCAGAAGAGAGCGUGGCCUCAUGUGUACCAGCUCUCUGCUCUCCUUUGCCUUGGGACGUUCCAUCCCUGGAAGUUUCCCUGCCCACAUCUUUGUAGAGAGUCCAUUCUCCAAGCUUCAGUGUGUCAUCUGUGAGGACUGUGACCAACCUGGUACAUCGCCUCAGGGCAUUCAUUUCAGGCUCCUUCUAAAUGGUCAAGUUUUCAAGAUUGUUUUGGCUCUAGCAAAACAAGUUGGAACAUUCACAUCAUCCACUGCACUGAUGAGGAAACUGAAACAGAAAAUCCAGAGUAAAUUCCACCAGGCCACACAGCAAGGUCUGAUAGAGCCAGGAGAGACUUUAUGAAAUCCAGACUCUCACACUAAUGCUCUAUCAGCUAGACCUCCAUGUGAGUCUCCCCAAUGUAGGUAGGAAGUGCUUUCCC
rnacentral:lncRNA from 1 species